CCUGGGAACUGCAUCUGAUACUGGCAAGCUUGAGUCUCGUAGAGGGGGGUAGAAUUCCAGGUGUAGCGGUGAAAUGCGUAGAGAUCUGGAGGAAUACCGGUGGCGAAGGCGGCCCCCUGGACGAAGACUGACGCUCAGGUGCGAAAGCGUGGGGAGCAAACAGGAUUAGAUACCCUGGUAGUCCACGCCGUAAACGAUGUCGACUUGGAGGUUGUGCCCUUGAGGCGUGGCUUCCGGAGCUAACGCGUUAAGUCGACCGCCUGGGGAGUACGGCCGCAAGGUUAAAACUCAAAUGAAUUGACGGGGGCCCGCACAAGCGGUGGAGCAUGUGGUUUAAUUCGAUGCAACGCGAAGAACCUUACCUGGUCUUGACAUCCACGGAAGUUUUCAGAGAUGAGAAUGUGCCUUCGGGAACCGUGAGACAGGUGCUGCAUGGCUGUCGUCAGCUCGUGUUGUGAAAUGUUGGGUUAAGUCCCGCAACGAGCGCAACCCUU
rnacentral:rRNA from 1 species